rnacentral:rRNA from 1 species
UACGUAGGGUGCAAGCGUUAAUCGGAGUUACUGGGCGUAAAGCGUGCGCAGGCGGCUAUGCAAGACAGAUGUGAAAUCCCCGGGCUCAACCUGGGAACUGCAUUUGUGACUGCAUGGCUAGAGUACGGUAGAGGGGGAUGGAAUUCCGCGUGUAGCAGUGAAAUGCGUAGAUAUGCGGAGGAACACCGAUGGCGAAGGCAAUCCCCUGGACCUGUACUGACGCUCAUGCACGAAAGCGUGGGGAGCAAACAGG